rnacentral:misc_RNA from 1 species
GCCUCGUCUCGAUUAACACAGGAAGGAUGAUAUGCCUUAGGGCACCCCCUGCGGUCACAGAGGACAAGGUCACCUCCAUCGAAGCAAAUGAAACAAACAUCCUCCUCCACCUUCUGCCUGGUUGAAACUCUAGAGGGGGCCUUGGCAUUCUUUCCCCGCUUCCUCUUCCCACCAGCAUUUCUGCUCAGUUCCUCCACUUCAUCUCCUGCCCCCUCCGCCUCAGUUCCAUCUGCCAGUUCCAUCUCCUCUGCAUU